rnacentral:rRNA from 1 species
UGGGGAAUCUUGGACAAUGGGGGCAACCCUGAUCCAGCGAUGCCGCGUGGGUGAAGAAGGCCUUCGGGUUGUAAAGCCCUUUAGGUCGGGACGAAGGUUAUUACUGGAUAAUAGUAGUAGCUUGACGGUACCGACAGAAUAAGCACCGGCAAACUCUGUGCCAGCAGCCGCGGUAAUACAGAGGGUGCGAGCGUUAAUCGGAAUUACUGGGCGUAAAGGGCGCGUAGGCGGUUUAAUAGGUGUGAUGUGAAAGCCCUGGGCUUAACCUGGGAAGUGCAUCGCAAACGGUUGAACUGGAGUAGAUGAGAGGGUGGCGGAAUUUCCGGUGUAGCGGUGAAAUGCGUAGAGAUCGGAAGGAACGUCAAUGGCGAAGGCAGCCACCUGGCAUCAUACUGACGCUGAGGCGCGAAAGCGUGGGGAGCGAACAG